rnacentral:rRNA from 1 species
GGCUCAGGACGAACGCUGGCGGCGUGCUUAACACAUGCAAGUCGAACGAUGAACCACUUCGGUGGGGAUUAGUGGCGAACGGGUGAGUAACACGUGGGCAAUCUGCCCUUCACUCUGGGACAAGCCCUGGAAACGGGGUCUAAUACCGGAUACCACUACCGCAGGCAUCUGUGGUGGUUGAAAGCUCCGGCGGUGAAGGAUGAGCCCGCGGCCUAUCAGCUUGUUGGUGAGGUAAUGGCUCACCAAGGCGACGACGGGUAGCCGGCCUGAGAGGGCGACCGGCCACACUGGGACUGAGACACGGCCCAGACUCCUACGGGAGGCAGCAGUGGGGAAUAUUGCACAAUGGGCGAAAGCCUGAUGCAGCGACGCCGCGUGAGGGAUGACGGCCUUCGGGUUGUAAACCUCUUUCAGCAGGGAAGAAGCGAAAGUGAC